GAGGAUAUAUGUAGCCCUGCAACAUGCACUCAAAGAUCAUUGGCGAAGGCUUUUAAAAAUAAGCAGCACAUAAGAAUUUGGAAAUAUUUUCCUUCCAGUUUACAGAAACAAUGGGUAGUGGAAGACUCAUAACACUAUUAUUAACUGUAAUAGGACUGACAACAGCUGCGGUCACCACAACAGCUCCCCCAACCACCACCACAACAGCUGCCC